UCCCUGGUAGUAUAUCGGUUAGUACACGCGCCUGUCAUCGCCGUAAACUGUCUUUCGCGCGCGAAAGCGGGGUUCGACUCCCCGCCAGGGAG